rnacentral:lncRNA from 1 species
UCUGCACUUACCAGCAAGCCACUUAGCCUCGGUUUCCUAUGUGAAACACCUCACUGCGGUGCUAUAUGAAAUGAGAUAAGGAUGUGCAGUGCUUAGCACAGAGCCUGGCAUAUUGUCGCUAUUCGUUCACAGGAGCUGUGAGUGUAUGGGGAGGGAGUGGGGCAGCAAAGAGAAGAGCAAAGGAGAGGUCAGAAGCAGCGCUGCCAAGGACCGUCCUGUUGUCAUGAGGUCUCCUGACCCAGGGCAGCAUAGUUCCUGGCACUUCAUAAAUUCUCAAAAAGUUUCUGCUAAAUGAAUGAAGAAAGGAAGGAAGGAGGCUGAAAGAAAUAACAAUGUUUGGAGUCAUUUGAGACUCAAGAAAAAUAUUAGAAACCUGAAUUAUGUUGAAUGAAAACAUAAACUGAAAGAAAAUAAGUUGAAAGAAACUGCGGGGAUUAAAACCCAGUGUAUGGGUUAUGGUGAGGGUCAAAUUAACAAAUAUUUUUUGAGCACUGUAGGAAUCAGGGUCUUGGCAAGAAAGGGUGAGACUCUGAUUUGUAGGGAAGGUUUAAUGAAGGGACUAUUUACAAAGUAUGGGCAGAGGGAAGAAAACAAAAACAGGAUGGUAGAGCCCCUUUUUCUAGCAAGUGCUGGAAGCUGCCUUUAUUAUGCCUGGGCCUAAGGGAACAAGGACAGGGAGUAGUUACAAGAGCCCUGAAAGAACUGUUCCUAUGGGACAGUGAACAUCCAACAGGACAGGAGAGGAGCAGCUACUACCAAACACUGACGCCUGUAGGGGAGGAAGCUGAGAGAAUAAAUGGACUGUCGGGUCUUCUCUGCGCUCUGGUCUCUUCCCAUUGGCUGGACCAGCUGGACGGCAGUGAGCAAGAGGUCCACAGAAGUCAGCUUCCCAGAGCAUGGAGCAGGGUGAAGACUAUGGACAGUGAGGCUGGAGAGACAAGCAGAGAAUAUCCAAGACAAGCAGCUCUGUCAAUCUUUGUGCUGGUGCAAGGAUACAACAGAGAAGAGGGCAGAAUGAGUUCUUGACCAUGAUCGUAGAGUUUAUAGUCUUGGGGGAGAAACAAACAGUAACCAAACAAUUAUAAUAGAGUACGAUACAUGUCAUGGUAUAAGGUAUAUCUGAAACUCAACGAGUACUUAGAAGAGACACUUAUCAAGGCUUGAGUCUCAGAGAAAACUUCCAAGAAAAAGUGGCAUCCAAACUGGCACCUCGAAUACUCAGCUGACUUCAAAAGAUACAGUUAAGAGAAUGAAAAGAAGCCACCAACUGGGACAAAAUAUUUGCAAAUCAUAUAUCUGAUAAAGAACUUGUGUCUAGAAUAUAUAAAGAACUCUCAAACACAAUACUAAGAAAACAAACAACCCAAAUAAGAAAUGGGCAAAAGAUUUGAACAGACACUUCACCAAAGAAGAUAUACAGAUGGCAAAUAAACACAUGAAAUGAUUUUCAAGAUCACUGGGCAUUAGGGAAAGGCAAUUUAAGCCACAGUGAUAUAAUACUAUACACCUAUUAGAAUGGUUAAAAUUAAAAAGACUGGCCAUACUAAGCAUCAGCGAGGAUGAGGAGAAACUGGAGCUCUUACAUACUGCUGAUAAGAAUGUCAAAUGGUGCAACCACUUUGGAAAACAGAUUGGCCGUCUUUUAAGAAGUUAAAAAACAUAUACCUACUUAGUUUCCUAGAGAUGCCAUAACAAAGUACCACACCUGGGUGGCUUAAAACAAUAGGACUUUAUUCCUCUCACAAUUUUGUAGGUCAGAAGCCCAAAAUUAAAGUGUCAGCAGGGCUGGUUCCUUCUUGAGGCGCUGAGGAAGACUCUGUUCCAUGUCUCUUUCCCAGCUUCUGGUGUUGACAAUAAUCCUUGGCAGAUGCAUUAAUACAAUCUCUGCUUCCAUUGUCACACGGCCUUCUUUCCUGUCUCUCUCUCUCUAUCUUCACAUAACCUUCUUACAAGGACAUCAGUCACUGGAUGUAGGGCCCACCCUAAACAAUAAGACCUCAUUGUAACUAUUUACAUCUAAAAAGAUCCUAUUUCCAAAUACAGUCACAUUCUGAGCUUCCAGGUGGACGUGAAUUUUGGGGGACACUAUUCAAUCCAGUACAAUGACCGUAUGAUUCAGCCAUUCCACUCCUAGGUAUUUACCCAAGAAAAAUGAAAGCAUAUGUCCAUAUAAGAUUUGCACAUGAAUAUUCAAAGGAGCUUUAUUUGUAAUAGCAAAAAACCGGAAACAAUUCAGUUGCCCAUUAAGGGAUGAAUGCAUAAAUAGGUUUAGGUAUAUCCAAACAAUGGAAUGCUACUCAGCAAUAAAAAGCAAUGAACUAUUGAUGCAUGCAACAACAUGGCUGCGUCUUGAAAUAAUUACGUUGAAUGAAAGAAGCUAGACAGAAAAAGAGUACAUACUUUAUGAUUCCAUUUAUAUUAAAUUCUGGAAAAUGUAAACUAAUCUGUGGUGACAAAAAGCAGAUUAGUGGUUGCCUGGAAAUGGGAAUGGGAAUGGGAAUGGGGGGCUAGUGGGAGGAGAGAGACUUAGCUGACUCAAGAGGGAAUCCACAAAUGUUCCAGACAGAGGGAAUAGAGGCAAGAGUGGACAUAAGGUACUUGAGAAACUCUUGUAGUAGAGAGAUUGGAUAUUGAGGUGGGAGGUUCUGGAAGCACUGAGGCUCAACAGGAAAGCUAGGGCUCCCAAAUCGUGUUAAAAAUCUUUAUGCUAAAGCCAACAGGAAGCCAUUAAGGAGUUUUAUUGUGACAAGAUUUAUGUGUUACAUUUUAGAGAGAACAUUCCUGCUCUAGUAUCAAGAAUGGAUUGAAGGUGAGUUAUUCAUAAUGGUUAGGAGGCUGCUGCAGGAGUCUGGAUAAAGAGAUGGCCCUUGUCUGGACUAGAAGGCAGACAGUGAGGAUUAGGAGACCUGAACAUACCUUGUAAGAUAUUUAAGAGGAAGGCUCAUCAAGACUUAGUAUUUGACCAGGUGUGUUGAGGAGAAAGAGGAGUUGUCAGGAAUGAUGUCCCCUUUCUGGCAUGGCCAAUCUAGUGGUUCCAUCCACUGAGAAACUAGUUU